rnacentral:rRNA from 1 species
CCAAUAGCGUAUAUUAAAGUUGUUGCAGUUAAAAAGCUCGUAGUUGAAUUUCGGGGUCUGUCCAUUGGUCGGGCUUCACGGUCCGUACUGGUGUGAUGGGUUCCUACCUUCUGAAUAACCAGCAUGCCAUUCAGUUGGUGCGCCGGGGAAGCAGAGCUAUUACCUUGAAAAAAUUAGAGUGCUUAAAGCAGGGUAGUGCUUGAAUAGAUUAGCAUGGAAUACUAAAAUAGGACGGCAUGGUUCUAUUUUGUUGGUUUCUAGGAUCACCGUAAUGAUUAAUAGGGAUAGUUGGGGGCAUUAGUAUUCAAUUGUCAGAGGUGAAAUUCUUGGAUUUAUUGAAGACUAACUUCUGCGAAAGCAUUUGCCAAGGAUGUUUUCAUUAAUCAAGAACGAAAGUUAGGGGAUCGAAGACGAUCAGAUACCGUCGUAGUCUUAACCAUAAACUAUGCCGACUAGGGAUCGGACGAUGUUAAUUUUUUAAUGACUCGUUCGGCGCCUUACG